CAGCCCUUCAUGGUGAAGGGCUGCGCUUUUUAAAAGCGCAGCCCUUCUAUGUAAGGGCUGCGCUUUUUAAAAAGCGCAGCCCUUCUCAUGUAGGGCUGCGCUUUUUUAAAAUAAGC